CUACGGGUGGCUCCAGUGAGGAAUAUUGCACAAUGGAGGAAACUCUGAUGCAGCAACGCCGCGUGGAGGAUGACGCAUUUCGGUGUGUAAACUCCUUUUAUAUGUCAAGAAAAUGACGGUAGCAUAUGAAUAAGCACCGGCUAACUCCGUGCCAGCAGCCGCGGUAAUACGGAGGGUGCAAGCGUUACUCGGAAUCACUGGGCGUAAAGGACGCGUAGGCGGGUUGGAAAGUCAGGUGUGAAAUCCUACAGCUUAACUGUAGAACUGCACUUGAAACUUCUAAUCUAGAGUAUGGGAGGGGGAGAUGGAAUUAGUGGUGUAGGGGUAAAAUCCGUAGAUAUCACUAGGAAUACCUAAAGCGAAGGCGAUCUCCUGGAACAUUACUGACGCUAAGGCGUGAAAGCGUGGGGAGCAAACAGGAUUAGAUACCCUCGUAGUC
rnacentral:rRNA from 1 species